rnacentral:tRNA from 1 species
UGCUCCCUACUGGAAUCGAACCAGUGAUCUUAUCAUUACUAGUGAUACGCUUUACCACUAAGCCAAGGGAGC